AACGGAAAGGCCCUGCUUGCAGGGUACUCGAGUGGCGAACGGGUGAGUAACACGUGGGUGAUCUGCCCUGCACUUCGGGAUAAGCUUGGGAAACUGGGUCUAAUACCGGAUAGGAGCCAUCUUUAGUGUGGUGGUUGGAAAGUUUUUUCGGUGUAGGAUGAGCUCGCGGCCUAUCAGCUUGUUGGUGGGGUAAUGGCCUACCAAGGCGGCGACGGGUAGCCGGCCUGAGAGGGUGUACGGCCACAUUGGGACUGAGAUACGGCCCAGACUCCUACGGGAGGCAGCAGUGGGGAAUAUUGCACAAUGGGCGCAAGCCUGAUGCAGCGACGCCGCGUGGGGGAUGAAGGCCUUCGGGUUGUAAACUCCUUUCGCUAGGGACGAAGCUUUUUUGUGACGGUACCUAGAUAAGAAGCACCGGCUAACUACGUGCCAGCAGCCGCGGUAAUACGUAGGGUGCGAGCGUUGUCCGGAAUUACUGGGCGUAAAGGGCUCGUAGGUGGUUUGUCGCGUCGUCUGUGAAAUUCUGGGGCUUAACUCCGAGCGUGCAGGCGAUACGGGCAUAACUUGAGUGCUGUAGGGGUAACUGGAAUUCCUGGUGUAGCGGUGAAAUGCGCAGAUAUCAGGAGGAACACCGAUGGCGAAGGCAGGUUACUGGGCAGUUACUGACGCUGAGGAGCGAAAGCAUGGGUAGCGAACAGGAUUAGAUACCCUGGU
rnacentral:rRNA from 1 species